rnacentral:rRNA from 1 species
AGGACGAACGCUGGCGGCGUGCUUAACACAUGCAAGUCACGGGGGCCCGCAAGGGUAACCGGCGAACGGGUGCGUAACACGUGAACAACCUGCCCUCGUGUGGGGGAUAGCCAUGCUAACGCGUGGGUAAUACCGCAUACGGUCCUUUGGGGGAGUCCCUGGGGGAAGAAAGCUCCGGCGCACGGGGAGGGGUUCGCGGCCUAUCAGCUAGUUGGGGGGGUAAUGGCCCACCAAGGCGACGACGGGUAGCU